rnacentral:rRNA from 1 species
GAUGAACGCUGGCGGCGUGCCUAAUACAUGCAAGUAGAACGCUGAAGGAAGGAGCUUGCUCUUUCCGGAUGAGUUGCGAACGGGUGAGUAACGCGUAGGUAACCUGCCUGGUAGCGGGGGAUAACUAUUGGAAACGAUAGCUAAUACCGCAUAACAGUAGAUGUUGCAUGAUAUCUACUUAAAAGGUGCAAUUGCACCACUACCAGAUGGACCUGCGUUGUAUUAGCUAGUUGGUGAGGUAACGGCUCACCAAGGCGACGAUACAUAGCCGACCUGAGAGGGGGAUCGGCCACACUGGGACUGAGACACGGCCCAGACUCCUACGGGAGGCAGCAGUAGGGAAUCUUCGGCAAUGGACGGAAGUCUGACCGAGCAACGCCGCGUGAGUGAAGAAGGUUUUCGGAUCGUAAAGCUCUGUUGUAAGAGAAGAACGAGUGUGAGAGUGGAAAGUUCACACUGUGACGGUAUCUUACCAGAAAGGGACGGCUAACUACG